AGGGCUCAGUCGCAGCACACGGGACAUCCUGAAGGGUUACACUGUGAGCCUAUCAUCAUGUUAGCUCUUGGGCACAAGGAAGCUCUUUCUUCAUGAAGGCUUCUUCAUGCAGGCUGUUCCUCCAGGGAUAAAAGUUAAAGUAAACUCAGGAGCAGCCCUCUAUUUGUGGGACUUCACUGUGAGGUGAAAGACAUUGCUGAAGGAAACCAGCAGACCCUGAACAAUGCUCUCUGCUUAGCUUCUUGUUUGGAAAUGCUUUUAUGUCGCUGACAUUUGCAUGCUUUUCUACUCAAGAAUAAAGCAGGUGCUUUCUGGAAGCUCAGAGUAACAGGGGACCUGCCUCAGGUUCUGCCUACGUGGAUGUUCAGCUCUGUCACCUCCAUCUAAAGCCUUCCUCGCUGGUUUGCUCAUCCCUGUUGGCUCAGUUUGUGACCACACAGCUGUCACAAACUGAGGGAGGGAGAUGCAGGCUCCACUAAGAGCUUUUGGGAGUUUAAUGCACUUUUGAUCCAAAGAACACAUGUAUGUUAUCAAAUAGAGUAAUCAAC